CUGCUGCGUCACCUAAACACAGUAGUCAUAGUCUCCUCAUAGCUUAUCGUGAAACCUUGAGGACCAACCAAGGUUAAAAAAUUCCCUGCAUGGCUUUCCCCGGGAGAGAGUAAACUCUUUGAAGCUGCCUCCCAUUUAGGAAAAGCCAGUCUCAACUGCCCCAGCUUUGGUGGAAGAGUCCACGAUGGAAGAGUUCUGUCCAGUCCUGGGGCACAGAAUGAAGAGGGUCUGAGAACCAGUCAUUUCCAUCGUGUUUCCUCUGCUCCAUGGCAAUGCUGUCUGCUCUUCCUGAGGCCAGGGCUACUGUGAAGUCGGCACCCAUCCAAGAGUAGUCACACAUCUACAAUGACUUCGUGGUCAAGGUUAGCCUAGAGCUGGAACCAACCACAGCAGCCUCAGCGCACCUGCACUUGUCUGACUGCAGAUGUGUUCCCUAGUCUUUGGUGAGCAGCCAUACACCAAAUAUGCGCUGUACAUCUGCUGGAGGCUAAGAACUGCACUUUCCCAAGAAAGCCAAGAGUUGCCUGGAGGGGCUGGUGAGAUAGCUCAGUGGGUAAGAGCACCCGACUGCUCUUCCGAAGGUCCAGAGUUCA